GUUUAGAGUGGCAUCUGAUUGAAAGCAAAGAGACCUGAAAGCAGGCUGGGGCAGGAAAACCCCGGGUGCCAGAAGAGCAGGUUUGGAAGUUCAAUUCAGUUUCAGUCAUGAUGAGUUUCAGGUGACUUUGAGGCACUCUGAGGGAAGACAAAUGGGCAGAGAUAUGUGUGGCUCUGGAGCUCAGAAGAAAGACCUGAGUUCGAAUGAUGCAUGUGGCUGUCACUGUCACACAGAUGGUGGCAGAAGCUGUUGAAGAAAAGUACUCUUCCUCAACAAACAAUGAAAGAAUUUGUUGCUGGCUGAUCUGCCUUACAAGCAAUACCAAAGGAAGUCUUUCAGCUGAGAAGGAAAAAUACCAGAUGGUAACUCAGAUCUGUAUGAAGAAAUGAAGAACACUAUAAAUGGAAGACAGAUGUGUGCUUUUCAGCACAGAAGGAAACAGCAUGAAAACAAACAAGCGAGCAAGGAAACCAACAAAUAUAACAACAAAACCGAUUAUGUUGGGAACCUGAGGAAAACUUGAGGAGGAGGAGGACUUGAGAACGUUCUGGCACUGGAAAAUCUUCACUUGAAGGAACCAGAAGACAGGGAAAGAACUACUCCAGGAACAUUUAACAAUCUAGACUCAUCCAGUGUUAUAGUAGGAAGGAACUAGAAAUUCUGGUGUUUGGAAACAUUUUCUUGGUAGAUUUCUUCUUGCUUUGUAUUGUUCUUCAACAUGGUAUAGAAAGCCUGAUACUGAAACAGAAAACUGGGUACUUUUCUUGUUGGAGUGAGGGAGGCAGCAGGGGCUUGUGUCUGUAGAGUCCUCUUGGAUGACUCUCAGUGGUGAAUUCCACAGGACCAAAGGUUUGAAAGAAUGCAAAUUGGGCUCAUUUUCAGAUGAGAAUAAAAGGCCUCAAGGUUCUUAUUAGAAAGAAUCGUUGACCUAUUAAAUAAAAAACAAAUAAAUCCAAUUCAAUGAAUUAAGAUUUUCAAGAGACGUCAGAUGUGGCUCCUGUACUCAUGGACCUUUUCAUCUGUCAAGGAGGAAAGACGUGUAUAAAAACAUGCUUUGGGCCAGGUAUGGUGGCUCACGUCUGUAAUCCCAGCACUUUGGGAGGCCGAGGUGGGUGGAUCACCUGAGGUCAGGAGUUCGAGACCAGCAUGGCCAACAAGGUACUACUCUACUCUACUCUAUCUCUACUAAAAAUACAAAAAUUAGCUGGGCGUGGUGG
rnacentral:lncRNA from 10 species